CAGCAGCCGCGGUAAUACGGAGGAUCCAAGCGUUAUCCGGAAUCAUUGGGUUUAAAGGGUCCGUAGGCGGUCUUGUAAGUCAGUGGUGAAAGCCCAUCGCUCAACGGUGGAACGGCCAUUGAUACUGCAGGACUUGAAUUAUUGGGAAGUAACUAGAAUAUGUAGUGUAGCGGUGAAAUGCUUAGAGAUUACAUGGAAUACCAAUUGCGAAGGCAGGUUACUACCAAUUGAUUAACGCUGAUGGACGAAAGCGUGGGUAGCGAACAGGAUUAGAUACCCCCGUAGUCCCUGUCUCUUAUAC
rnacentral:rRNA from 1 species